rnacentral:tRNA from 1 species
UUCCCUGUGGCUCAGUUGGUAGAGCAUGGUGUUUGCAACGCCAGGGUUGUGGGUUCAAUUCCCAGGGGGG